rnacentral:rRNA from 1 species
AUAGUGAACCAGUACCGUGAGGGAAAGGUGAAAAGAACCCCGGGAGGGGAGUGAAAAAGAACCUGAAACCAUAUGCUUACAAGAAGUUAGAGCCCGUUAAAGGGUGAUAGCGUGCCUUUUGUAGAAUGAACCGGCGAGUUACGAUAUGGAGCGAGGUUAAGCAGGAUAUGCGGAGCCGAAGCGAAAGCGAGUCUUAAUAGGGCGAAAGUUGCAUGUCGUAGACCCGAAACCGAGUGAUCUAGCCAUGACCAGGUUGAAGUUGGGGUAAAACCCGAUGGAGGACCGAACCGACCCCCGUUGAAACGUUGGCGGAUGAGUUGUGGCUAGGGGUGAAAUUCCAAUCGAACUCGGAGAUAGCUGGUUCUCCCCGAAAUAGCUUUAGGGCUAGCGUCGAGAAAGAGUCGUGUGAAGGUAGAGCACUGAAUAUGUGAUGGCCCCAUCCCGGGGUACUGAAUAUAAUCAAACUCCGAAUGUCACAAAGACAGGCUCGGCAGUCAGACAGCGGGUGAUAAGGUCCACUGUCAAGAGGGAAACAGCCCAGACCAUCAGCUAAGGUCCCAAAAUAUAUACUAAGUGGAAAAGGAUGUGGAGAUGUCCAGACAACUAGGAGGUUGGCUCAGAAGCAGCCAUCCUUUAAAGAGUGCGUAACAGCUCACUAGUCGAAUGACUCUGCGCCGAUAAUUUACCGGGGCUAAGUAUAUUACCGAAGCUAUGGAUUUGCCAGAGGCAAGUGGUAGGGGAGCGUUCUAUGAGCGAAGAAGCGGUACCGGAAGGAGCCGUGGAGCGCAUAGAAGAGAGAAUGCCGGUGUGAGUAGCGGAACGUGGGUGAGAAUCCCACGCACCGAAAACCCAAGGUUUCCAGAGGAAGGUUCGUCCGCUCUGGGUAAGUCGGGACCUAAGGCGAGGCCGAGAGGCGUAGUCGAUGGACAACAGGUAGAGAUUCCUGUACUUACGGUAUGAAUGAAGGAGUGACGGAGAAGGCUAGCGGAUCCUGCUGCUGGAAUAGCAGGUGCAAGCGAAGUAGCCGACAGCCAGGCAAAUCCGGCUGUCAGAGGCAAAGGCGUGAAGCGGAUGGAAAGCUGAGGCAAGUACAGAAGUCCGUGAAGCAGGCUUCCAAGAAAAGCUUCUAGUGUUAAUCAUACAGUAACCCGUACCGAAAAUGGACACACAUGGGUGAGGAGAGAAUCCUAAGGUGAGCGAGAGAACUAUAGCUAAGGAACUCUGCAAAAUGACUCCGUAACUUAGGGAGAAGGAGUGCUCAUAGAGAUAUGAGCCGCAGUGAAACGGCCCAAGCGACUGUUUACCAAAAACACAGCUCUAUGCUAAGUCGAAAGACGAUGUAUAUGGGGUGACGCCUGCCCGGUGCUGGAAGGUUAAGAGGAUGUGUCAGCGCAAGCGAAGCACUGAAUUGAAGCCCCAGUAAACGGCGGCCGUAACUAUAACGGUCCUAAGGUAGCGAAAUUCCUUGACAGGUAAGUUCUGACCCGCACGAAAGGCGUAACGAUUUGGGCGCUGUCUCAGCUGUAG